AACGCACAUUGCACCCCUUGGUAUUCCGAGGGGUAUGCCUGUUCGAGCGUCAUUAUGACCACUCCAGCCUGGCUGGGUAUUGGGCUUCGCCGUUCGGCGGGCUUUAAAAGCAGUGGCGGUGCUCUUAGGCUCUACGCGUAGUAACUUUUCUCACUAUAGAGUUCUGGGACGCAUUAGCCAUCAACCUCAACUUCUCAAGGUUGACCUCGGAUCAGGUAGGAAUACCCGCUGAACUUAA
rnacentral:misc_RNA from 1 species